CGCCAGACUCCUACGGGAGGCAGCAGUGAGGAAUAUUGGUCAAUGGCCGAGAGGCUGAACCAGCCAAGUCGCGUGAGGGAAGACGGCCCUACGGGUUGUAAACCUCUUUUGUCAGGGAGCAGAGGCGUCCACGUGUGGACGAGAGGAGAGUACCUGAAGAAAAAGCAUCGGCUAACUCCGUGCCAGCAGCCGCGGUAAUACGGAGGAUGCGAGCGUUAUCCGGAUUUAUUGGGUUUAAAGGGUGCGUAGGCGGAGUGUCAAGUCAGCGGUAAAAUUUCGGGGCUCAACCCCGUCGUGCCGUUGAAACUGACGCCCUUGAGUGAGUGAGAAGUAAGCGGAAUGCGUGGUGUAGCGGUGAAAUGCAUAGAUAUCACGCAGAACUCCGAUUGCGAAGGCAGCAUACCGGCGCCCAACUGACGCUCAGGCACGAAAGCGUGGGUAUCGAACAGGAUUAGAUACCCUAGUACAG
rnacentral:rRNA from 1 species